UGUGAACCAUAACGAGUCACUCCGGUCUAGCACUAGGGUUUAGCUAUAAAUACUUCCAAACCCUUUCACAUCUUUCACAUUUUCCCCUCGGAUCAUCUAGGGUUUCUGAAAAACCAAACGAGGCAAGAAACACAACCGCGGCGGAUUUUGUUAGUUCAAUCACCAUGAGAGCCAAGUGGAAGAAGAAGCGUAUGAGGAGGCUGAAGAGGAAGCGCCGAAAGAUGAGACAGAGAUCUAAGUAGAAAUGCUUACAGAUACAGUCUCCUUUUGUUUAAUGUUUUGUCUUUUUGAGUCUCGAGAAACAAACAGAGGAUUGCGUUUUUUCUCUCUGUAAUGUCUUUUGACCAAAACUCUGUUGUUGUUAGAUUCUAUCUAAUGGAUUAUUAUUAUUA